rnacentral:rRNA from 1 species
UACGUAGGGGGCAAGCGUUGUCCGGAAUCAUUGGGCGUAAAGAGCGCGCAGGCGGUCGAUCAAGUCGAGUGUGAAAGCCCCCGGCUCAACUGGGGAGGGUCAUUCGAUACUGAUCGACUCGAAGGCAGGAGAGGGUAGUGGAAUUCCCGGUGUAGUGGUGAAAUGCGUAGAUAUCAGGAGGAACACCGGUGGCGAAGGCGGGUCUCUGGGCAACUACUGACGCUGAGGAGCGAAAGCGUGGGGAGCGAACAGG